CUCCUCUCAGGGUCGCACCUGCAGAGUUUCCAGUACUCUACCAGUCUCGACUACGGAAGGGAGAGUCAAGCAGAGCCAAUUCCAUUCCUAGCUUGGCCGGUGGCUAGCGAGUGGAAGGCAAUCCGCUACAGGU